UUUAUUUAAAUCAAACUUUUAAAUCGUUUUAGACUCUUUCUCUAUAGUAUUUCCAAUUUGGGUUAAAUGGUUAACAUGCAUUUUAAAUGUGAUCAGACUCAACACUGAUUCAUUAUUUGGCUCAAUGGUUCAUUGGUUCACUCACUCACUAUAUAGCCAGAAGCAUUAUCACAGAUCCAGCCUGCAUUUGUCACCAGGAGCAAACUACCAUACAAAGGUAAUGUCCACAUCAGCCUCAUAUCUUUAAGCCAGGAUGAUUCCCCCAUGUAUCAAGCACCUGAUGUUAGCAAUGAGCCAUCAGAACACACCAUUAUUUGUCAUAUGAACACUCUCACACACCCUCUUUUUAUCUCUAUUUGUCCAAGUCUGCAUGUAUCUUUCACUUCUGAUCAGCAAACAAGAUAAAAAAGGAUUAUGUGAAAAGCAAUUUCUUCUGAAGGAGCUAUCUGGGAAAAUUCAUGGAAGAGGUGGAGUUUGAACUGACCCAUGAAUAUGAAAUUCUCUAAUUUCUACCUUUAUGUACCUUUGCUUUGCUUGUAUCUUGUCUCUCCGCUUCUGGCUUUGUACUUAUCAAUUCAAGCUUGAAUUUGACCUGUCAGCUUUCUCUAUACAGAAUGUUAGUCACUUUGACCUAAACCUGGUGAUUUAAUUCUUAGCUCUUGCCUACCUGCACAUGCUGGGUUGUCUUUUAGUUAGAAAAAGAAAUAGGAAAUCAUACACUCAUGUAAACUAUGUAAUUGAGCAUAUGCAAUGCUAUAGAGUAAGGAGAGGGAGGACAGUGGCAUUUUCUCCUCAUUUUCUGUUCCUAGUCCCUGCAACAAAUGAUCUCUUGAUACAGGUCUUCUACUCCUUAAGAUAGACAAGAUUGAUGAAAGACUGGAAAUGACUUUGCCUGGACCAUGAUUCAGCGACAGUGUCCCUCUGGCAAGACUAUUGGCCAGGAAAACAAAACAAAACUUCUGGAAUGCCUCUUCAUCUGUCCUAACAGUAACAUCGGAAGCCUCUUCCACCUGAAUUAUGAAGAUGUCAAGUAUUCUCAGCCUCAAAUUAAUGUAUCAAGUACAUUGCAUUUGUGUCUUUGUGUUCUUUCCUAGCUUCUUAAAAAACUGUGCUAAUUAUGUUUUCAAAAAUUGUUGUUUUUCUAACAUAUUGGUUACAAUAUCAAUAUAUGUGACUUAAUAAAAUAGUCUCUGAGAACAUGUGCUUUUCUGUAUGUGUUAGGUAUCAGCUUGCUUUUAACAGUAUUGUAAGUUUUUAUAAUCAUAUUUAAAUUGUGUUUAUCUAAAAUAUUUAUGAACAUUGAAUUUAUGGUGAACAAAGAAUUCUUUCAAAUUGCAUGUGGUUAUGUUUCAAA